UACGUAGGGUGCAAGCGUUAAUCGGAAUUACUGGGCGUAAAGCGUGCGCAGGCGGUUACGUAAGACAGUUGUGAAAUCCCCGGGCUCAACCUGGGAACUGCAUCUGUGACUGCAUAGCUAGAGUACGGUAGAGGGGGAUGGAAUUCCGCGUGUAGCAGUGAAAUGCGUAGAUAUGCGGAGGAACACCGAUGGCGAAGGCAAUCCCCUGGACCUGUACUGACGCUCAUGCACGAAAGCGUGGGGAGCAAACAGG
rnacentral:rRNA from 1 species